GGAAGAUGAAGUCCUACAUUGUAUUCCUCGUCAUUGAAUUGUGUCCGAUUCAACGUUGUUUUGUAACUGCUAGUGGCAUACAUAGGAUGACCUCUAGCAAUUGAUGCCACGUGAUCUUUACCCAAUUCAAGAAGCCAAAAUCUCCAAUCUUUUAGUUCUUUGCCAUCAACUUUGACAACUAUGUUUUCCCAGUUUUUGUGAUGAAACUCGAUAGUAUCCAACUUGUAACCAACACCGUCACCAAUGGCUUUGACAAAUGCUUCCUUCACACUCCAAUAUCUAUAAAACUCACUCAAAAUCUGACGAGAAGAGCCAGCAUUGAUUAUAUUAAACCAUUGACCUCAACCAUGAUCCGCCCUG
rnacentral:misc_RNA from 1 species